GAGUGACAAGAGGAGGUAGCAAGAUUAUGUAUAGAUUAUUCGUCAUCCCCAAAAGAGAGUUGUGGAGUUUGAGGAGGCCUGAUAAACAACACCUCUUGUCUUCUGAGAUCAGAAUCAGUUAAGAGAAACAUGGGAGUCAGACAGGAGAUAAGAAGGGGCAGAAAGCACAGGCCGAGGGAACCCAGGAGGUGGAGUGAGUACGAGAUGAGGACACCAAGACCUAGACCCAGGGCAUCUGUAGUGAUCUAACACCAGAGGAUGUGUCCUGACCCUGUUGCUGAUUGUGUGACUUAACUCACUGGGUCAUCACUUGCACCUCAAGAUGCUCCUGAUGGUGGCUAGGUUAAUCUUCCACUUGCAAUGACUGAGCCCUGGAUUGCAAUGAACAUCAAGAAAGAUGUUUGGGAGACUUUAGGACUACAGACCUAGUCGUUGGUGGUGAAUUCAUCCUGGCACAGCAGGGGAAAAAACAGGAGAGCCCAGCUGAGGAAGCUCCAAUGGGCUGGGGCUGUACUCUUUGCUCCCAUUCCUUCUUUUCUAGUUGUUUUGCCCUGCCCACCUCUUCCCUAUAAUCUCUUUCUUGUUCCUCUCCAGCCCUCUCUGUGUAUCUGUAUCAAACACAAGUUUUGCUAAGACACGCCUAUGUAUGGCUUCCUCUGCCUACUCCAUAGAAUCUCUCAUAUCUUCCUCUAAUUUCUGCUAGGUGACUUAGAGCUUGAAAGUGUGUUGUCACAAUGUAGGUAACCAAAAGUGUGCAUGAAACUAAAAAGUCUGGAAAAUAAGGCCAUGUGUGCCUUCUUUUGCUACAAAAUGGAGCCUUGAAAAAUGGUGAUUUCUUGGAUGCUCUUUAACAACUUGAGAAGAACUAGAUAAAAGGAUGAAGAGAAUCGGGGGCCAGAAGGGAAACUAAGGCCUGGAGCAAAGAGGGAUCACAAUGGAUUAGCUGAUGUUUUCAGAAGAAGGAAGAGGCCCACUUAAGUUUCCUUGAUUCUUCUCAUCUU